rnacentral:sRNA from 1 species
GCUGGGUGCAUUGGUACAUGCCUGUAAUCCCAGCGACUUGGGAGGCUGAGGCAGGAGGAUCACAAGUUUGACACCAGCCUCAGCAACUUAGUGAGACCCUGUCUCAA